rfam:Mesocricetus auratus contig009837, whole genome shotgun sequence.
UCUGCUCUUCUUGGUGGGGACCAGCUAUGUGGCUCUUCUUGUUAUGUGUAUGAAAGGGCUCCAGCACCUUUGCAGUCAUGUCAUUGGUGUUGGGAGCUUUCUGUCCACAGAUUUUAUUUUCAAGCAGCAAGACACAU